rnacentral:rRNA from 1 species
GACGAACGCUGGCGGCGUGCUUAACACAUGCAAGUCGAACGGAAAGGCCCUGCUUUUGUGGGGUGCUCGAGUGGCGAACGGGUGAGUAACACGUGAGUAACCUGCCCUUGACUUUGGGAUAACUUCAGGAAACUGGGGCUAAUACCGGAUAGGAGCUCCUGCUGCAUGGUGGGGGUUGGAAAGUUUCGGCGGUUGGGGAUGGACUCGCGGCUUAUCAGCUUGUUGGUGGGGUAGUGGCUUACCAAGGCUUUGACGGGUAGCCGGCCUGAGAGGGUGACCGGCCACAUUGGGACUGGGAUACGGCCCAGACUCCUACGGGAGGCAGCAGUGGGGAAUAUUGCACAAUGGGCGGAAGCCUGAUGCAGCAACGCCGCGGGCGGGAUGACGGCCUUCGGGUUGUAAACCGCUUUCGCCUGUGACGAAGCGUGAGUGACGGUAAUGGGUAAAGAAGCACCGGCUAACUACGU